AUAUUCGUGAGAGAAUGAGCUUUGCACACUAUAAAGAAAUCAAAUUGUAUUACAUUUUUUACAUACAAAGAAGAAAAAAUAUGACUAAAAUUCUCAAAUUUAUUUGUGUUAUUAUCUUAUUUCUUUCUGUAUCUCUUGUUGGAGCGGAUUUUGACUCAUAUACUGAUUUACAUGAUAAUAAUCCUGAAUCAUAUGAAUGUGAAGUUGAUGAAGAUUGUCCACAAGAUCCUUUUACUAUGAAGUGCAUUAAUAACAUUUGUAUUGGUUAGAAAAAAAAUCAUUUGUGCAAAGUCUAGAUAGUACACAAACACCAAGGGGAAUAAUAAGUUUUUUCACUAGUGAAAGAUCUCUACAAUAUACCUCUUAUGCAAUAACAUUCCACACGUUGUCAUUUAGUUAUUGUGUUUACAUCCAUUAAUUUUUCUUUUAUAUAUUUCUUUGUCUAGCUUCACAUAUCUUGUAGUUAUAGUUUUGUACUAUAAGAUGAUGGAAUUGAAACGAAAUAAGAUAGUAGAGACUAUUAUUUAGAGUGUAUUCUUCUAUAUAAAUUUGAUAACAACCCUAAUUUCUUGUUAUUAUAA